rnacentral:rRNA from 5 species
CUGGAGGUAUCAGAAGUGCGAAUGCUGACAUAAGUAACGAUAAAGCGGGUGAAAAGCCCGCUCGCCGGAAGACCAAGGGUUCCUGUCCAACGUUAAUCGGGGCAGGGUGAGUCGACCCCUAAGGCGAGGCCGAAAGGCGUAGUCGAUGGGAAACAGGUUAAUAUUCCUGUACUUGGUGUUACUGCGAAGGGGGGACGGAGAAGGCUAUGUUGGCCGGGCGACGGUUGUCCCGGUUUAAGCGUGUAGGCUGGUUUUCCAGGCAAAUCCGGAAAAUCAAGGCUGAGGCGUGAUGACGAGGCACUACGGUGCUGAAGCAACAAAUGCCCUGCUUCCAGGAAAAGCCUCUAAGCAUCAGGUAACAUCAAAUCGUACCCCAAACCGACACAGGUGGUCAGGUAGAGAAUACCAAGGCGCUUGAGAGAACUCGGGUGAAGGAACUAGGCAAAAUGGUGCCGUAACUUCGGGAGAAGG